rnacentral:rRNA from 1 species
UGCCAGCCGCCGCGGUAAUACGUAGGGAGCAAACGUUGUCCGGAUUUAUUGGGCGUAAAGGGCUCGUAGGCGGUUCAACAAGUCGGUCGUGAAAGCCCGGGGCUCAACCCCGGGAGGCCGGUCGAAACUGUUGUGACUAGAGUUCGGUAGAGGUGAGUGGAAUUCCCGGUGUAGCGGUGGAAUGCGCAGAUAUCGGGAGGAACACCAUUAGCGAAGGCGGCUCACUGGCUCGAUACUGACGCUGAGGUGCGAAGGCGUGGGGAGCAAACAGGAUUAGAUA